rnacentral:rRNA from 2 species
ACUGGAAUCACGAGUGUGUCACUUGUGAAUUGUAUAAGGAAAAAUGAUGAUGUCACUUCUACAAGUAGUGUUGUCCAAAGCUGGUGCCAGAAGACUCGGUAAGGCCAGAGACGCAAGCGUUAAUCAUCUUGAACAGGCGUAAAGGGUUUGUAGGCAGCUUUAAAAUAAUUAAAGAUUGAAUCAAAUAGAGGUCAAGAGAAUUCCUAGAUUAGGGUUGAUAUCUGCAUAAACUAGGAAGAAUUCUAAUUAGCGAAGGCACUUUUCUAUCUAAUGAUUGACGCUGAGAAACGAAGGGGAGGAUCGACAAUAGGAUUAGAUACCCUGGCAUCCCUCUCUGUAAACGAUGAAUGGUAGUUGCUAGUAAUAAUUAUUAGUGACGAUGCUAACGCGUUAACCAUUCCGCCUUGUGAGUACGACUGCAAAGUUGAAAACAAAAAAAUUAGUCGGUUUCGGAGCAAACGAAGUGAAGCAUGUUAUUUAAUUC